AGAGUUUGAUCCUGGCUCAGGAUGAACGCUAGCUACAGGCUUAACACAUGCAAGUCGAGGGGAAACGGACAUCGAAAGCUUGCUUUUGAUGGGCGUCGACCGGCGCACGGGUGAGUAACGCGUAUCCAACCUGCCCAUCACUUGGGGAUAACCUUGCGAAAGUAAGACUAAUACCCAAUGACGUCUCUAGAAGACAUCUGAAAGAGAUUAAAGAUUUAUCGGUGAUGGAUGGGGAUGCGUCUGAUUAGCUUGUUGGCGGGGUAACGGCCCACCGAAGGCGACGAUCGAUAGGGGGUUCUGGAGAGGGAAGGUCCCCCCGACAGUUGGAACUGAGACACGGUCCAAACUCCUACGGGAGGCA
rnacentral:rRNA from 1 species